CGCAGCGCGUCGCUCAGGCCUGGACCUUGCCAAGAGCGGAAUAGGAGAAAAGGCCGGUUGAAGUUGAAGAGGAGGCUAGCGGGGCUCGAGCGCGCGCCUGCGCACGAAAGCGAGCACGCGCGGGCGUUGUGGACGGUUCCUGGGCAACCGCCCCUCCUGCUCCGGUAGCACGCGCCCCCUCCUCAGGUCCCGCCCUUUCCCAGCCCCUGGGGUCACGUGAGAGGCCGCUGUCCUCCCCCCCCUGUCCCCCGACCUCCUCUUAGGACUAGGGAGCUCUUAGGAGUAGGGAGCUCUGUUGCAGGAAUCUGGAAAGGUUCCGUGCUUUGUGUGUUCUGGUGCAACCGGCGCGAGCUGUCACCGACCCCUGCCGCCGCGGGAAGGAGUUAUUUUUUUUGCAGAGUAAAAGCACCAGCGCCCCGUGUAGCAAACGUGUUCACAUCAUCAAGGGGAACAAAGUCUGGGGCUGAGCACACGCCUGCACCGAGUAGGUUCCGAGGCCAGCUCCCAGCCCCGCUGCAGCAUGCCUUGGGUGCGCUGUCACUGAGACCAGGGUGUUCCUGGACUCCUCUACAAGUUCAUUCUGGCGUCCCUCCCUGCUUCCCCCCAGAGACUCGAAUCAGAACAUUUCCGAAGCUUUAUUAAUUUCCAAGGGAAAAGAUUUCUCACAUCAGGGGGGAAAGGAGGUUGUGACUCAGCAGCGGACUUGUUGAGGCUUGCAAAAUGGAAGAGAAAAGAGCUUUCCAUGUCAAGCUCUGAGGAGCGCUGGAAGGGGACUUAAUCCUGAGUAAUUCCUUUACGCAGGAACAUUUUACAUAGAGAAAAACAUACUUAACUGUAGGUCAAUAAUAACGGAUCCACACAACGCAAUAAAGUAAGAAUUGUGUAUUAUUUUUCAAGUUUCUUGAUGCUUAGAAAAGUGAAACUAGUGAAUGAAUUCCAGAAAUACAGACUAGCCGGGCGUUGGUGGCACACGCCUUUAAUCCCAGCACUCGGGAGGCAGAGGUAGGUGGAUAUCUGUGAGUUCAAGGCCAGCCUGAUCUCCAGAGGGAGUGCCAGGAUAGGCUCCAAAGCUACACAGAGAAACCCUGUCUCGAAAAACAAAACAACAAAAACAAAAAGCAAACAAAAAAACAGAAAUACAGACUAAUCGCAAGCGUAUACAGGUUGAUUCAGAGUGGAUUUAUAAUUUACCAUCCUUUAAGGAUGAAGAGAAACUGUUCGUCUUUCUGAAUCCUCAUUCUCUCUCUUGCUUCCUCAUCUUGUCUCAAAUAUAUGUAAGUCAAAUAUGCAGUUGACCACAGCAUUGCAAAAAGAAAAUGCCUUAUUUAUAAUGGUGUAAUAUACUAUUAAACUAACUUUCCCAAAAACAUAUUUUGUAGAAUCAUAAAUGCUUCAGAAAUUAGCCUGGUAAACAGUUGUUUGAAGUUAAUCUCAAGGUCCUAUUUAACAACCAAAGUGAAUAUGAAUCUGGAGACAUGCUUCCUUUAAAUUACAAUAGGAGAAAACCUGCAUACUGAAAGUAUAUAAAUAAAUGUCAAUGAGGCUUGCGCUUGUCAUCCCAGGAGGAUGGAGCAGAAGGAUUGCUGAGAGGUCAAGUUCCUGGUGGAGAACAGAUGUGCGGUCAAUGGACAGACCACAGGGCUGGCUGGAGCUUUAGGAUAAGUAUAGAGCUGUCUCCAUGAAGGAAAUGUCCAGCUAGGAACUACAACUUCUUGCUGUUUGCGGACAGAAAGAUGCUGAAUGGUGCUCAGAAUAGAAAGUGAGUAUAAAAUACACAUAUUCAAUUCAUUACACCCUGUUUUUCCUUCUCUGGCUGGAAGCAGAAGAUUCUGAAAUCUUGGAAAAUGACAGAGCUACAAGUUGGAGAGACAUGGGAUUCCUGAAGUCAUACACGGACUCUAGCUGGCAGCCCAAAGAG
ensembl:lncRNA